GGCACAGGACUUGCCAUGCAUUCAUCACAGGUAGCCAACGGCGGUUGCCCUUCCACGACAAAGACGUCGC
ncrna:Pseudomonas poae RE*1-1-14 narK RNA